rnacentral:rRNA from 1 species
CAUGUAGGCGGAUUGAUAAGUUUGAAGUGAAAUCCUAUAGCUUAACUAUAGAACUGCUUUGAAAACUGUUAAUCUAGAAUGUGGGAGAGGUAGAUGGAAUUUCUGGUGUAGGGUAAAAUCCGUAGAGAUCAGAAGGAAUACCGAUUACGAAGGCGAUCUACUGGAACAUUAUUGACGCUGAGAUGCGAAAGCGUGGGGAGCAAACA